UGGCGCUGUCUGGAGAGGCUCGGGUGGCACAGCCUUGCUGGAGGAAUGACGUCACUGGGGAUGAGCACCGAAAUUAAAAGCCAGUCUUCUCUGUUUCUUGCUUGCCCUUUGGAGAUGCGCCCUCUAUGCCUGCUCACCCUGCCACGUGCCUCCAUGCCCCCUGCCGUGAUGGACGCUCACCCCUCCCGGGACCACAAGCUGAAAUAAAACCUUCCUAUUGAAAGUUGUCUUGGUCACGGUGGUUUGUCAGAGCCACAGAAAAACUCCCGAGACAGUUAUCAUCCUGGCAGGAGGCAUGGAGACAAGCAGGCAGGCCCGAGGCUGGAGCAGGAGCUGAGAGUCUACAUCUGGAUCCGCGGGCAGCAGGAGACUGCACUUCAUAAAAGACUCUGGGACCGUGAAGCUGAUGGGUGUGUGGAGUCUCCAGGGUCCAGGGGAAGCUUGGGCUAAAGCAAAGCUCAAUACGGUGGCUUCAGGUCAGCAAGAAUGGCCAGAGGCAGGACCGACCAGUGAGAAUGAGACUGUCAUGAUGUCACAGCUCCAGGGGACAGCACUUGCCCAGAGCGCAGUCAUCAGGUCUCCCUGUGUUUGUUUAUACCCUCCACACGCAUCCUGGUUGCCAAGUCCGUGAACAGACCUGAGGCACAGGAGUACUUUCUCAAGGUCUGGGUCUUCCCGUGCUAGAGGCAAAUGGGAAAUGUUUCACAGUGGGUUGGCCACCACCCUGCAGGGCUACUGGGAAUGGAGGAACUUUUAGGAGGCCGGUGGGCUAUCAGCAGAAGGAAGUUAGGUGACCAGGAACUCUGAUCUCUGUAUUUGCCUCCCUCCCUCCCUGUCCCCUCCCUGUCUAGGGCAGCUCCCUUCAUUGCAGUUUCCUCCCUCAAUGCACAGGGCUACCAACCCUCACCCUAAGUGUGCAGAUCUUCUUCUGUGUGGCCGGCAGAAGGCAGGAAGGGUCAAACCGCACACAGCUGUAACACCGCCUGCCCUCAGGAAGGGGGUCUUUGCUGCUACUUGAUAUUAACUCGCCUUCAUCUUUGCCAGUUUGGUGGGCAAGUUAGCAUUUCAUUGUUUGUGAAACUGAUAAAUGAGGAUAGGAAUUGGUAGAAAGGGCUCAGAC